CAAUAGCGUAUAUUAAAGUUGUUGCAGUUAAAAAGCUCGUAGUUGGAUUUCUGGUCGGAAGCUCCUGUCCUCUGAUGAGCGUACAAGUGCGUCCUACCAUCCUUCUGUUAACCUUUAAGGCUUUCGCGGCUUUCUAGGGGCUCAGAUAUUUUACCUUGAGAAAAUUAGAGUGUUUCAGGCAGGCUAGCGUCGGAAUACAUUAGCAUGGAAUAAUGGAAUAGGACUUUUGCCUCUUCUGUUGGUCAUGAGGCUCGAGUAAUGAUUAAUAGGGAUAGUUGGGGGCAUUAGUACUUAACUGUCAGAGGUGAAAUUCUCGGAUUUGUUAAAGACUAACUUAUGCGAAAGCAUUUGCCAAGGAUGUUUUCAUUAA
rnacentral:rRNA from 1 species